UUGCAUUCAGAAAUGUCUACCCCAAAUUCCUUUGGGAUAGGUAUGCAUCCAUAACAUUCUACAUUAUAAAAGAAGUUCUCAAGGCUGUCAGCCAUAUAGUAGAAGUUGAGUUGUAGUAUAUUUCUCCUAAUUAA
ensembl:snoRNA